UACGAAGGGGGCGAGCGUUGUUCGGAAUUACUGGGCGUAAAGGGCGCGUAGGCGGCGACUCAAGUUAGAUGUGAAAGUCCUGGGCUUAACCUGGGGACUGCAUUUGAUACUGGGUUGCUUGAAUUCGGGAGAGGAUAGCGGAAUUCCCAGUGUAGAGGUGAAAUUCGUAGAUAUUGGGAAGAACACCGGUGGCGAGGGCGGCUAUCUGGACCGACAUUGACGCUGAGGCGCGAAAGCGUGGGGAGCAAACAGG
rnacentral:rRNA from 1 species